rnacentral:rRNA from 1 species
AACGAACGCUGGCGGCAUGCCUAACACAUGCAAGUCGAACGGGACCAUCGGGUCUAGUGGCGCACGGGUGCGUAACGCGUGGGAACCUGCCCUUAGGCUCGGAAUACCUCUCUGUCAGGGGUGCUAAUACCGGGUAAUGUAUUCGGACAAAAUAUUUAUCUUCCUUGGAAGGGCCGGCGUUGGUUUAGCUAGUUGGUAGGGUAAGAGCCUACCAAGGCGACGAUCCAUAGCUGGUCUGAGAGGAUGGUCAGCCACACUGGGACUGAGACACGGCCGGGACUCCUACGGGAUGCAGCAGUGGGGAAUAUUGGACUAUGGGCUGAAGCCAGAUGCAGCUAGGCCGCGUGAGUGAUGAAGGCCUUAGAGAUGUAAAGCUCUUUUACCCGGGAUGAUAAUGACGGUACCGGGAGAAUAAGCUCCGGCUAACUCCGUG